rnacentral:rRNA from 1 species
UACGAAGGGGGCUAGCGUUGUUCGGAAUUACUGGGCGUAAAGCGUGCGCAGGCGGUUUUGUAAGCCAGAUGUGAAAUCCCCGGGCUUAACCUGGGAAUGGCAUUUGGGACUGCAAGGCUUGAGUGCGGCAGAGGAGACUGGAAUUCCUGGUGUAGCAGUGAAAUGCGUAGAUAUCAGGAGGAACACCGAUGGCGAAGGCAGGUCUCUGGGCUGACACUGACGCUCAUGCACGAAAGCGUGGGGAGCAAACAGG